rnacentral:tRNA from 1 species
GCCGAAGUGGCGGAACAGCAGACGCACUGGACUCAAAAUCCAGCGAUCGCAAGGUCAUGAGGGUGCAACUCCCUCCUUCGGCACCA